UGGUAGCAAGAGUCAUGAUUGAAUUAGUUGUGUGAAAGGCACUUCUUCAUGAACUCAAUAUUACGGGGCUUAUUGAUAUUCUGACUCAGUACCA
rfam:Eucalyptus grandis cultivar BRASTZ1 unplaced genomic scaffold scaffold_4, whole genome shotgun sequence.